ACGGAGGAAGUAAGACCAAUCAAUAGUUAAGGAUCAAUUCCUAGUACGGAAAGAUCAUUACCAAUCUUCAGUUUGGUUUCAAUCUCCAACUAGUCGUACCACUACCCCACCUAGUAUCUAUCAAUCAAAAACCAACUGCUCACUAAAAAUUAUUCCCAUCUCCAUUAUUUUGCUUCUCUUUCUCUUUCUUUGUCUUCAUCCUGUCACCUUCAUUAAUCAGUAAGCAAAUCUCUAUCCCAUUAGAAAAUUGAUAAUUAUUCACCAGUUUUUGAAGAGAUCAACAAAAAUGGAUGACCCACGCAAUCAAAUUACGUGUUGCUGAAGCUGUUUUCUGACGCCCAUGGCGAAUCAACGGUGGCGCCACCACCACCUCUACCACAGCAACACCAGCAUCAGUCGCCUUUCUCGCCGAUUUCUUCCCGUUGUUACCUCCAUCGUCGGCGUCUUCAUCCUCCGCUUCUUCGCUCUCUCGCUCCUCGUCCUUCUCGCCUCCUUCACCAUGGCCACUCUCGCAGCUCAUUUCUCUUUGGAGAAAGCAUCAGCUGAAGUUAUCUUAUGAUAAGGAGCAGCAGGAUGACGAGGAGGAGCAGGAGAAGUUAUCUGAUGACAAGGAGGAGAAAAAGAAGUUAUCUGAUGAUAGUUACCUUAUUUUUGUAAAUAGUGACUUCUAUAUCAAUGUGGUCAAUGUUGUCAAAAUUGAUAUAAUUACCUUAUUUUAUGUAUAGUGACCUUCGUUAUUUUUAUAUAUAGUGGCCUCUGUAUAAAUGUGGCCUCUGUAAAUUGACGUAGUUACCUUAUUUUUGUAUAUAGUGACCUUUAUGUAAAUGUGGUCAAAAUUGAUAUAAUUACCCUAUUUUUGUAUAA